CUGAUUACUGCUUAUAGCUUUUAAGUGAUUUUCUUACUUAUUUCGGUGGACUAUUUUUAAAUUCGAAUCUAAAUAAAUCUACUCAUCUGAAAUAUGACGAGUUGCUUGCUUUCCCUGAGUAUCGCUCAUCGGUAAACGAUGCGAAAAAUUUUUAGAGUAGGUGUGUGCAUAAAUAUGCUUCUUAUGGCUUGCAUUUCAACCAGGUAUAUACAUGCUGCUAAAUUUUGCACUUUUUCUAUAUGACGCUAUAUUGCAUUUUUCAAUCAUGAUUUAAUUUUCCGUUUAAAUUUAAGUUCCGUUACAUACACACACACGUGCAUUAAUGUUAGUACAAAUGUACGUAUAUAUUCACUUAUGUAAAAGUACGUACAUACAUAUGUAUUAGAGGUCUGCGUGAAUUUAUUCAAAACGGCUUAUGUAUUAUUCAUAUACAAAACGAAUGAUUAGUUUUGUCUUCAAAUUUUUUUGAAUUUGAGUGAAUACCUGUUAUGAUAUAUGUAUCGAC